rnacentral:lncRNA from 1 species
GAAAAGGAGGAAGAAGGGGGAUUCGGGAAGGAAGCUUCCGUCGGCUUCUAUGGCAGCCGAGGAUUUCGUCCGUCUGAGGCACGGCCGAGCAGGUCGGAAAUGCAGCGGAGGCUGGCGAGCUAGGUGAAGGAGGCGGCAGCAGCUCCGGCGGCGUUAGGUGGCAGCGAGUAUGCAGAAGGGGGCAGCAGCUUCUUGCCGUCGUUGUGAUCGUCUCCGGCAGCCAUUUUGGGUGGUUCUAGUCUCAAAAUGACCAGCAACCGGCAAGCUUUCUUCCUUGCCCACCAAUACUUAUCUAUUCAACUGGACUGCGACAGAGGAUAGACUCCCAACUAGCAUAUGGACCCUUAGAACCCGCAGUGGACUCGGGACUUUUACCUAAAUAAAAUGAAAUUUAAAUAGAUAUAAGGAUUCAAACCAACUCGAUUGAUAUCGGAAAAACGAUUACACAUGAAUGCAAUGCAACGACUUCUUAAAAAUCCUAUUGAAAAUUCGGCAGCAUUUCUUCUAAUAUCAGACUAAGUUUCCUGUAAAAUGGGUCCAAAAUCUAUAAGAAAAUAUUUUUUCAAAAUUCACUCGGGCCUCAAAACUACAUGUUAUGCCUAAUUAGUCCAAUUCCACAGUACAAUAAAAUUAUCAAGCCUCACCGAUUUCCAUCGAUAAUUAUAAUAAUAUUUAAACGUAAAUAAAUUAUCUUCACACUCAAAUUCCAGACAAUUUGAUUUUUGAUAUUCAUAUAAUUUCCCCAACACACCACAUAAUAUAAUAACUUUAUUUAUGUUAUAUAGUUUAUCAGACCUAUAAUCAUCCAACAACUCAGAGUUUAAUGAUAAUUCAUCCAAAUUAAAUAUUUUGAAUUUAAUACCACAAUUCACAUAAAAAAUACAUAACUAAUUAUCUGGAAAAAAUUUAAGCGAACCAGUACCACCAAAAUUCUUGAAAUAAUAUGACAGAUUCUGCUCUUCGGCAUGCAAAUCGAGUCGCUGCCAGCCACGAUGGCCACAAAAUCCAAGGCUGCUGAAAACGCGAUUCAAGACCACCUACUCGAUGCUUUUGAUGCGAGGAGUCCAAAUAUGCAGUUAUUUUCGUCCAAAAUCUCUAUUGUUCUUUUGAAAAAUAGCUUGCAAGAGGUUGCUCCAACGAGGCUCCACCACUCGAUUCCGGCAACUGCAGGGGCUAGGGAUGCUUCAAGUCGAUGUCAUUUGAGGUGUGGAAGCUCCUGGCAGCCUUAAUUUUCCAAGACCAGCAUCAAUUUGGCCGGAGAGACACCAACAACUAAUGACCGUGUUGCUCUUUCUUUAGUCAUUUUUCCGGUGAGGAAACGUUGAGCUCAAGCUACUACAGGUUUGGGGAGGCUGUGGGUGGUGGCUCCUUGCUCAGGUGGUUGGAAUAGGUGCGGAAAGGGGAGGGACAACUUGAAAAAUGGACGGAGAGGUGAGGUGAAAUGGUGUAUGCGGGGAGGAAGAGGGAAAUUUGAGGAAAGAAGAAAAAUAAGUGGGUUUUUUUGGGUAUAUGUGAUAAUUAUAUAGUAAUAAUAAUUAUUAUUAUUUUAUUU